GUGCCAGUAGCUCAGUUGGAUAGAGCAACUGCCUUCUAAGCAGUGGGUCGGGGGUUCGACUCCCUCCUGGCGCA
rnacentral:tRNA from 1 species